GGUGAGUAAUGCGUAGGAAUCUACCUAGUAGUAUGGAAUAGCCAUUAGAAAUGAUGGGUAAUACUGUAUAAUCCCUGCGGGGGAAAGAUUUAUCGCUAUUAGAUGAGCCUACGUUAGAUUAGCUAGUUGGUAAGGUAAUGGCUUACCAAGGCUAUGAUCUAUAGCUGGUCUGAGAGGACGAUCAGCCACACUGGAACUGAGAUACGGUCCAGACUCCUACGGGAGGCAGCAGUGGGGAAUAUUGGACAAUGGGCGAAAGCCUGAUCCAGCUAUGCCGCGUGAGUGAAGAAGGCCUUCGGGUUGUAAAGCUCUUUCAAUAGGGAAGAUAAUGACGGUACCUAUA
rnacentral:rRNA from 1 species